CAGCAAUUAAGCAUGCAUUGAGAUGAAGUGAGAAUCUAAUCAAGUUGAAGUGUGGCCCUUUGAAUUGUACAAAGUGACUCAAUCACAUUGAGAGGAAUUUGAUGAUCUCGCUCCAACUACAGGCACGCUCACAUCUUUUUCCAAAAGAGCGGAAGCAGAUUUAGAAUGUAAACCUACUCCAUAUGUACUUCUUUUUUCACUUCCUGGAAGUGUAAUAGGCAGUUGGGUCUUUCUGGUCUUUACGCAAUCAUAGAGUCCUAUCAUCCUCACCGUAUUGAGAAUUUAACUUCCCACAGCUGAUGAUAGGAGCAACCUCAAUCCAUUCAAGACUAUUUCAGUGUUCUGGAAGUGCCACCAAACACUGCAAGGCACAAAUUGCAAGGGGGCACAGAGCUACCUUUAACCUCAUGUUUACACAAAGUGGAAGGUCACUCCCCUUGUCAGUGCUGUAGUCAACACAGCGGCUGGAGAACAAACACGGGUUUGUUCUCCACCCUGCUCCCCUCCCUGCAAUUCCGCACGCCCCCACAGAACUCUUUUGGGUCGGUGGGGUUGAUCUCAGAGGGGAUGUGUGUCCUUUCCUUGUCCAGUGACAUGUCAAAGGUCCCCAUAUUGUUGUGUUUCCACCAUCGCACCAACCCCACUGCGCACUUCAAACAUUGGCAGACUGGUGUGCUUCUGCUCCAGGUACACUCAUCAGAGGCGUAAAUCUAUAGCCAAACUUUCUGGGACAACAACUCAAGCCUGGAACACUUUGGAAAGGGGUUGCCUGAAUCCCCGGCCUGCUCUGGGUUCAGCUAAUCUCCCAUGCAUGAGCCAAAUACCAUCUGUGUUUGUUCGGCAACAAAGGAGGCACUUGUUAAUGACUUUCCAUGUCUUCACUGAAGUACUGCUGAGGGUGCGGGGAAAGAAAGGAAGCAGAGUAUGGAAAAGACGCGUCAGAUGGGGCAAAUUAAAGACCACAAUUUUAUCGUCAAUACCGCUAAUAGCGUUUUAGCAACAUGACUUAAUGGAACACAGACAGCAUCAUUUGAAGGUUAACUGUUUGAAUCAGUUCCUCAUCAAGUGAUUACAUUUCCUUAAAAAGGCUUUGCUAGGGUCGCUAGGCUACUUGCUCGGGUUCAAACCCUAAUUUGACUAACUGCGCAUAAGUUCUUCUCAUCUGAAAUUCGUAUAAAAAAAAGCUAUAUUCCCAAACCUCUCCAACAAGCGGAAGCAUCAGUUUACAUUCAUCAGUAUAGUUUGGCUCAGUUGAAAAAUUUACUUCAUAAAGCCGAACCAAAAUAACCAGAUCCGAGUACAAUAUGGCAUGGGAGGAGUAGAGUGGUGCAGGAUGCACUGCGCUUCUCAACUAAAACCAUCAUGAAUCUGGAGCGCUAAAGUCGGCGCUGAAGAUAUUCCAGAUUUGACUCGAUUGUCCACUUGCGCUGAACAUGUUGACAUGUUUUGUGGUUCUUUGACUGAAAUGUGCUUGUGAUUUGAAACAAUGAACUGCCACGCACUGAGCAUGUUUUGCAAGCUUUGGAUUGAACCAUGACCCCCGGCUAAUCCUUUUCACUCGCUCCGCUUUUAAAUUAGCUGCGUGACAAGCCAGUGCUCUCAGCUCAUCCCCUUGCUCGCUUCUGACUUUCUGUUCGCUGUCCUGUUCCACUCAUCCAGGCUCAUCUGCAACUCGCUUGGCAGAGCAAAUUUAGGCAGCGCGUAAAAACCAACAAGCCACACUGGUGCUGGUCCUUUUUUUCGAACCUGCUCAACUGUUAACUGUGUUUUUUGCCCUGCCAUGCAAAUGCAUGUGGAUCAAAGCGGACAUGAUAGGACAACGCCUAUGCAGGGCCUCCUCCUAAAACCAACAGUGGCUCCUAAAUGAACAGGGGGUUCCAUGUUCUCUUCCUCUUUUUGUUGGCAGAAAAUAAUGAGUAAGUCACUUUCUUCCAGCCCCCAUUUGUCACACAGUCAUCACUCCAUCCAACUGAUGCAACUGAUGCCUCAUUUCGAUGUAAUUUCAUGCCAUUUCUAAAGUCACAGUUGGAGCAGAAAAU